ACCUGCCCUCGAGUGCGGAACAACCCUGGGAAACCGGGGCUGAUGCCGCAUGAUCCCGCCUGGCUUGGCUGGGCGGGCAAAGAUUCAUCGCUCGAGGAGGGUCCCGCGUCCGAUUAGCUAGUUGGCGGGGUAACGGCCCACCAAGGCGACGAUCGGUAGCUGGUCUGAGAGGACGAUCAGCCACACUGGGACUGAGACACGGCCCAGACUCCUACGGGAGGCAGCAGUGGGGAAUCUUGGACAAUGGGCGCAAGCCUGAUCCAGCCAUGCCGCGUGAGUGAAGAAGGCCUUAGGGUUGUAAAGCUCUUUCGCCCGCGAAGAUAAUGACGGUAGCGGGAGAAGAAGCCCCGGCUAACUCCGUGCCAGCAGCCGCGGUAAUACGGAGGGGGCUAGCGUUGUCCGGAGUCACUGGGCGUAAAGCGCGCGUAGGCGGCCUGUUAAGUUGGGUGUGAAAGCCCGGGGCUCAACCCCGGAUGGGCAUCCGAGACUGGCAGGCUGGAGUCCGGGAGAGGGCGGCGGAAUUCCCAGUGUAGAGGUGAAAUUCGUAGAUAUUGGGAAGAACACCGGUGGCGAAGGCGGCCGCCUGGCCCGGAACUGACGCUGAGGCGCGAAAGCGUGGGGAGCAAUGGGAUUAGAUACCCCAGUAGUC
rnacentral:rRNA from 1 species